GGGGAAUAUUGCACAAUGGGGGAAACCCUGAUGCAGCGACGCCGCGUGAGUGAAGAAGUAUUUCGGUAUGUAAAGCUCUAUCAGCAGGGACGAUAAUGACGGUACCUGACUAAGAAGCCCCGGCUAACUACGUGCCAGCAGCCGCGGUAAUACGUAGGGGGCAAGCGUUAUCCGGAUUUACUGGGUGUAAAGGGAGCGUAGACGGUGGUGUAAGUCAGAUGUGAAAACCCAGGGCUCAAUCCUGGGACUGCAUUUGAAACUAUGCCACUAGAGUGCAGGAGAGGUAAGUGGAAUUCCUAGUGUAGCGGUGAAAUGCGUAGAUAUUAGGAGGAACACCAGUGGCGAAGGCGGCUUACUGGACUGUAACUGACGUUGAGGCUCGAAAGCGUGGGGAGCAAAC
rnacentral:rRNA from 1 species